rnacentral:rRNA from 1 species
CUUACUACCGAAGCUACGGCAUCAGUAAUGAUGGGUAGGGGAGCUUCCCAUACGGGUUGAAGCAUGACCGUAAGGACAUGUGGACAGUAUGGGAGUGAGAAUGUUGGCAUGAGUAGCGAGAUGUGGGUGAGAAUCCCACAGGCCGUAAACCCCAGGUUUCCAGGGGAAGGUUCGUCCGCCCUGGGUUAGUCGGGACCUAAGCUGAGGCCGAAAGGCGUAGGUGAUGGACAACAGGUUGAUAUUCCUGUACUACCGAUAACCGUUUGAGAGAAGGGAUGACACAGUAGGAUAAGCUAAGCACACUGUUGGUUAUGUGUGCCCAAGCAUUGAGGCAGUCAAAGUAGGCAAAUCCGCUUUGAUAAUGCUGGGAUGUGAUGGGGAGCGAAAUUUAGUAGCGAAGUAGCUGAUUUCACACUGUCAAGAAAAGUCUCUAUCGAGGUUAAAGGUACCCGUACCGCAAACCGACACAGGUGGGUGAGGAGAGUAUCCUAAGGCCAGCGAGAGAACUGUUGUUAAGGAACUCGGCAAAAUGACCCCGUAACUUAGGGAUAAGGGGUGCCACCAUCAGGUGGCCGCAGAGAAUAGGCCCAAGCGACUGUUUACCAAAAACAUAGGUUUCUGCUAAGUCGCAAGACGAUGUAUAGG